rnacentral:rRNA from 1 species
CCUACGGGAGGCAGCAGUGGGGAAUCUUGCGCAAUGGGCGAAAGCCUGACGCAGCAACGCCGCGUGCGGGAAGAAGGCUUUCGGGCUGUAAACCGCUUUCAGCAGGAACGAAAAUGACGGUACCUGCAGAAGAAGGAGCGGCCAACUAUGUGCCAGCAGCCGCGGUGAUACAUAGGCUUCAAGCGUUGUCCGGAUUUAUCGGGCGUAAAGAGUUCGUAGGCGGUCGAGUAAGUCGGGUGUGAAAAUUCUGGGCUCAACCCAGAGACGCCACCCGAUACUGCUUAACUUGAGUUCGAUAGGGGAGUGGGGAAUUCCUAGUGUAGCAGUGAAAUGCGCAGAUAUUAGGAGGAACACCGGUGGCGAAGGCGCCACUCUGGAUCGAUACUGACGCUGAGGAACGAAAGCAUGGGUAGCAAACAGGAUUAGAUACCCUGGUAGUCCAUGCCGUAAACGGUGGGCACUAGGUGUGGGAUUCCUAUUAACGGAAUUCCGCGCCGUCGCUAACGCAUUAAGUGCCCCGCCUGGGGAGUACGCGCAGACAACUAAGAAGUAGACGCGNGAGAGNGCGAGACGACGACGAGGAGAG